UACGGGGGGGGCAAGCGUUGUUCGGAAUUACUGGGCGUAAAGGGUUUGUAGGUGGCUUGUUAAGUCAGACGUGAAAUCCCUCAGCUUAACUGGGGAACUGCGUCUGAUACUGGCGAGCUUGAGUGCAGGAGAGGAACGCGGAAUUCCAGGUGUAGCGGUGAAAUGCGUAGAUAUCUGGAGGAAUACCGGUGGCGAAGGCGGCAUCCUGGACCGAGAUUGACACUGAUGAGCGAAAGCUAGGGGAGCAAACGGG
rnacentral:rRNA from 1 species